rnacentral:lncRNA from 1 species
CGGUUGAGCCUACCAUAAUUAUGGUUUUGUACCACAACGUUUCUCCUUUACCGUGUCCAUCCUCAGGUUCGCCUAGCGUCAGUUAGUUCUGGAAAAUAAAAAAAAAGGAAACUUGUAGAGUUUUCCUUUUUUUGCUGGAGAAGAGGGAGAAUGUAGCGACCACGCUACUAAUUAAAUUACUUUAAUUAAAAUUGGAUUAAAAUAUACCCCUCUACAAAAUCCUUGGGUGACGCCCGCGAAGAUCCAACUACGAUUUUUCGGUGCACAGGCGCGCCAAUAGAAAGAAAAUCGAUGAUUGUCGAUUUCUAGUUUAGUUGGUCACGAACUCACAAAGAGGCAACACAUCGUCAUUACUUAGGUGACGGAGUUUGGGCAAAAUUGGGAAAAUAUAUAACUAAAAGACCUCGAACAUCAGCCAAUAACCCAUACUAAUAAAAAUCAAGCAGUAGUUAUAUCUGGAGACUUAUUUACAAGAAAGGAAAAAGGUUAUAAUACCGCCGAUGUGUUGCUUUGCUCAAAUUCCGUCCCGUAGCUACUUGUCACAUAGACACUUAGCCUAGUCAAUUUAUAUAGAUUGUAUCAUCAUUUAAUGUGCCAUCAUAUAAAUAUGUGCCAGUUAUUGUAAGCAGCUAGGGUAUGGGUUACCCCUAGAGUUACUUUUGAUUGGAUUGGAUAGUACCUAUUUCACAACAUCCAGGAUUGGAUUUAUCACCACAGCAGCCCACUAGUUUUUGCCGUGCCAAGAGGAAAUUCAUUCCUAUCUGGACCUUUUUAAAUAGGACUUGUGGUUAAGAUAAGUUGUUUAAUCUUAUUAUUUACAUAUUUUGGGUACUCUAUAGUUGCUUGCACUGUAAACUUCUUGUAUGCAUACAAUUGAGGUAAACUAGGUACAUAUUUCUUGAUAGAUAGGGUUUUAGGUCGUUGGUUUUUUUUUAAUUUAAUAGAAGUAGUAGUUUCCAAUAAAUAAAAUUAGGUCUUGUUCAAUAAUCAUUAUAAAUAAAAAUUGUAGCUUAAAAAUUUGAUCGGGAAGGGGUCGUUAAAGGUUUGUCGCGGAUUUCAAAUAGGGAAUAUGUCUUGUAGGUUUUUACAUUGUAUAUAAAGAGUAACUGACCAACUCAUUUAUACAACUCAUUUAUAUCACUCAUUUAUAUAACUCAUUUAUAUAACUCAUUAUAUAUUUACUUAUUAGUGUUUUUGCUAGGUGAGAUCUUUAUUAUUUUUGGUAACCGUAGCGUUCUUGUUGUGGAUCUCACUCUAGCGUAGUUCAAUUUAGGAAAUAAUUACUAACUUUUUAGUUGUAAGGACUUAGUGCUAUUCUGACGGACUUUUGCUUUGGAUUUUGAUUUUAAUACCUUUGCUUGGCCAGUGAUAGUGGAUAAUUGCUUGUUAAGUGGCCUUUGCGGUCCUAUUUGAUCUUCUCCCCAUCCACUAUCACUGUUAUCACGUUGCGUUAUAUGUAAAUUGUUAGUAUUUAACAUUUAUUAUUAAUAUAUUUGUAUGUAUUAA